rnacentral:misc_RNA from 1 species
UUUGUUUCUUCAUUGUUGCUUUUGAUGUUUCCCUUUUUUUUUUUCAUUUUUCUAUUUAUAAUUUUCCUAAGGGUGUUUUUCAUUGAUUUGCAUUUCUUGGUUUCUAGUCUGUUAGAUAAGGAAUUGUCUUCUCUGGUUCUUUUUAUUUAACCCUUUCAAUUUUAAAUUCUUUCAACUUUUCUGUGGUUUUUCUUGAGAACUUUUCAUUGACAUCUGUUAGCAUAGCAACAAAGGUAGGAUUUUAUCAGCUCUGUGUAUUCACAAGUCAAUUUUAUAUAUUUUGUAUAUUAUUUCAGGUAAAGCUCAGCGAUUCAUUUUCAUUUAGAUAUCUGGGAAUUGGUGUUUCCUGGAAGUGGGUGCUGCA